UUCAGAUCAGGAUGUAGCACUCAAACUUGCCCAGGAACGAGCUGAAAUAGUUGCUAAAUAUGACAGAGGACGAGAAGGUGCAGAGAUUGAACCUUGGGAAGAUGCUGAUUACCUUGUUUACAAAGUCACCGAUAGAUUUGGCUUUUUACAUGAGGAAGAGCUCCCAUAUCACAAUGCAGCCAUGGAACGGGUAAGUCCAGUUCUU